rnacentral:lncRNA from 1 species
UACGUACAACUGUGGUAUAUAUCAAGGUCCCGGCCACAUACUGGCGUUGCCCCAUCCGACGUGUGAAGGCCAGAUGUGAGAAAGAAACGGCGACUCUCCUCUCAAGGGAGACCUCAAGGGAGACAUCAAAUGAAGCGUACUGUACACUAAGAAGUGCUGCUGUGUACAACGCCACGAGUCGCGCAACCCAUUUGCUGCGCAGUGACGAGAUGCGCUACGGCCCUGCCACUCGCAGGCCCAGCGCCGAGGGCCAGUGUGAGCCGCCAUGCGCCGUUGCAAGCGCUCCAGCCCACUCGCCUGUAUGCAUCUGCGCUGCUGGUCCCCCACGCGCUCCAAGCUCCAGCGAGGGCUGCGAGGCGCGCCCACGUGAGCACAUUCCAUCGUCUGGCGCCCGAUCCCCGGCGCCUUCCUUGCAGGAGGUAGGCGGCCCGGGCGGUAGGCCAACCGCGAGCAGCCUGACAGCAGCACUAUACUAACAGCGGACGUGCAUUUACGUGCCUCGGUGCCGCAGCGGUGGCUGCUACGGCGCCCAGCACUCCACCAUCCGGCGGCCCGGCCCUCCCGCUCCCUGCCUCCACUAGUUGCGGCCCAUGCCGCCGGAGGACGAGG